GACGAACGCUGGCGGCGUGCUUAACACAUGCAAGUCGAACGGAAAGGCCCAGCUUUUGUGGGGUGCUCGAGUGGCGAACGGGUGAGUAACACGUGAGUAACCUGCCCUUGACUUUGGGAUAACUUCAGGAAACUGGGGCUAAUACCGGAUAGGAGCUCCUGCUGCAUGGUGGGGGUUGGAAAGUUUCGGCGGUUGGGGAUGGACUCGCGGCUUAUCAGCUUGUUGGUGGGGUAGUGGCUUACCAAGGCUUUGACGGGUAGCCGGCCUGAGAGGGUGACCGGCCACAUUGGGACUGAGAUACGGCCCAGACUCCUACGGGAGGCAGCAGUGGGGAAUAUUGCACAAUGGGCGGAAGCCUGAUGCAGCGACGCCGCGUGCGGGAUGACGGCCUUCGGGUUGUAAACCGCUUUCGCCUGUGACGAAGCGUGAGUGACGGUAAUGGGUAAAGAAGCACCGGCUAACUACGUG
rnacentral:rRNA from 1 species